GGGGCGUAGCUCAGUUGGGAGAGUGCUUGGUUCGCAUUCAAGAGGUCAGGGGUUCGAAUCCCCCCGUCUCC
rnacentral:tRNA from 1 species